AUUGAGGACCGGUCUAGAUUAAUAGACCAAUUAGACUCAAUUGCUUCUAAUAAGGGAUUAAUUAAGGUUAUUAAUCCAACAUUAUGGUAGAGCCCUAAAUCCUAAAUCUUAUAUCCUAUAGCCUGGAUUAAAGAUAGAAAUUUUGGGAUUUUUAUUUCUAAAUAAUAAUUACUUGAAUAAGAGUAAUGCAUUGUUAAAUUACGCAUUCUCAUUAAUUGAGAAUUUCUCUCGAGUCAAUGUCUCAUUUUAUAUUCUCGUAAUAAAGGUCAAGCGCGAGAGUGAGAGCUACACAAGGAAUCACAGCGCCUUAACAAAUCUUUAUUAUCAGGUUGAGCUGUGAUGGACGAUGAAGUGUUGUUGAGUGGAGCUUUUGUCGAACUUAAAUUAGGCUCAGAAAGGAUAUAUGUCUGCAUACAUGUAUCUCAGUUAUGUCUUCCGCUGCAAACACUGAUUAUGUUUUAGUCAAGUUUAUAACUAUGCCAAUUACUCUUCAAGAAAUAUCUAACGCUUACUCGGGUUCAUCGAGUAUCCUUUUUAAUUAUA